rnacentral:rRNA from 1 species
UAUGUGAUCGUCUCUCGCAUAUCAAUAAGCGGAGGAAAAGAAACUAACAAGGAUUCCCCUAGUAACGGCGAGUGAAGCGGGAAGAGCUCAAAUUUGAAAUCUUAAAGGGUUUCCCUUUACGAAUUGUAGGUUUAAAGAAGUGUUUUCUGUUGAGGUUUUGGUAAAAGUUCUUUGGAAUAGGACAUCAUAGAGGGUGAGAAUCCCGUAUUUGACCUUUACUUUCAACUUUGUGAUACACUUUCAAAGAGUCGGAUUGUUUGGGAAUGCAGUCCAAAAUGGGUGGUAAAUUUCAUCUAAAGCUAAAUAUUGGCGAGAGACCGAUAGCGAACAAGUACCGUGAGGGAAAGAUGAAAAGAACUUUGAAAAGAGAGUUAAACAGUACGUGAAAUUGUCAAAAGGGAAGCGUUUGACACCAGUGUUGUUUUUCUGAAAAUCAAUUAAAGAACUGUUUAUGCUAAGCUGUUUAGACUUUAUCAGCUAUCUGUUUAGUUUUGAGCUUUUCUUUAAUGCACUUUUCAGUUAACAAGUCAACAUCAAUUUCUUUUGCUGUAAAAAAGCUUGAGGAAGGUGGCCUGAGAUUCGUCUUAAGUGUUUAUAGCCUCUUGCCUAUGCAGUCGGAGAGAUUGAGGUCUGCAGCGUAGAUCCUUCGGGGCUAAAUGCAUUUGUGCUAAGUUAUAGCAUUUUAUAGACAACUUGUUGACUAUGAUUUGUCUUGUAGCUUACUCGCUUAUGUUAUUUUACCUACGCUUAGGAUGUUGAAGACUCUACAGAGAUA